AUAUGAUUAAACGCAGAACACAUAAAAUCCGGUAUAUGGGGUGUCUCUGAAUAGUGUACAUUAAUUUUCGAAGAACUUGAAGAAAAUCGAUGCAUAUUUCUAAUAUCAGUACCUUCUGAUCUAUCGGUUUAUUUAAAAUGAAAAGUCCGCGUUUAGAUUUGAUUUGUAUCAAUGAUAAACUCAAUAAUUAUCUGAUAAGAUCAGAUAAAUAGUUACAAUUGAACACAAAAAUUUAAAGAAAAGAACAAAAUGAAAAGAUAAGACCGAGUACUUGAUUACUUCAUUCCCAGAAACGGAUAAUGUCACAUUGCCGAUUUCGCACCUUCCACCAUCGUUAAACAAGCUUCGCCAACAACGCGAUCCGAGCAAACUCGUGGCAAAAACUGGCGAAGCGUGUUGAGUGAAGGUACACGAUCGGUGGUGCGAACAAUAUCGAACCUGACGGCGCCGCUUUUGACCGACCGCAUUUCGGGUCGGCGAAAAUUGAAUUUCCAACGUCAGGGAGGUGUGUAGAGGGGUAGAAAACGAGAGAGAGAGAGAGAGAAAGAGAGAGGAAGGUUCAUGUAGGUGAACGAAGAGAGCGGCCGGUUAUUUGCGUGGCCUUAAUAAGGACGUUUGACGGCGUUGGCUUUCCCUUAACAAGCCGGCUAAUAUCCUGGGGCCUUGCCUCUCCCAUCGUCAUCGUCGUCCGAAUCUUCUCUCUCUCUCUCUCUCUCUCAUCUUUCACAUGGUAGCUACCGUCGGGAAUCACCAAAGCUUGAAAACCGAAUAAACUCAGUUAGAGAACUCGGUGUGAAGCGAGUGGACCGCUCGACCAGGAACACGCUACUUGACAGGACGAGUCCUUAGCUCUUUGGCUAUGUUGCUAUUCCUCUAUAGGAGGAACCAUCCCUCCUACAUGCUACUCUUCGUCGUGUUCUUAACGCACUCCCUAGUACGUUAAACUUAAGUUUACUGAACUUAUCUUUCGAAGAGAUAAAUCGACUUAUUCUUAAAUCUUGAACUGAUUCCACAAAAUUUAGCAUUUCGAUAUAGUCAAGAAACUGCUACGUCAUUUUGAUUCUCUUUCUGAAAGCAAUUCAAAAUUAAAUCCCAAAUAAUGCAUAUUUAAAGAAAAAAAAAAUCUUUGAAGCUAUGUUACAAAAUAAUUAUACCUUUUUGGACGUAUCACUACGUUUGGAUUUGUUCGGUAGAUUGUUUAACAAAAGAUUUACCGAAGAUUGAGGUUCAGUCGUUGAUCGAUACCAUUCCUCGUUCUGAUAUUUUGGAUAAGGUAACCACCUAAAGAUUAAGACAAAUAUUAAGUAUGAAUCAUAUCAUAUUACCAAAUAAUUAUGAAAUAUUUGUAAAAAUAUAAAUACCUAUGUAUUACCGGAGACAGCAACUUUCUAUCUAUAUAAGAAGGAUCCUUUGGUCCCGUCAACCAAGUGACUAUUCCUCCAACUACAAUUACUAUAAGCGUACCCAAUCCGGAAAACCAAUGAUAGGACAAUAGGAUGAACAAAUUGAUUUAGAAAAGUUUGACUUAUAUUUCCUGGACACUGAGCGAGUGGUACCGGAAGCUUCUUAGGUACUAUGACACCGGCACUGAUCGAUAUAUUUGCUCCGAAACAUGCCCAACCAGCUAUUAAAAAUCCCACAACAGCACCUACGAAUGCACCCUAAAAGUAAGAAAAUUAAAACG